rnacentral:rRNA from 1 species
ACUCCUGCGGGAGGCAGCAGUGGGGAAUUUUGGACAAUGGGCGAAAGCCUGAUCCAGCAAUGCCGCGUGAGUGAAGAAGGCCUUCGGGUUGUAAAGCUCUUUUGUCAGGGAAGAAACGGUGAGAGCUAAUAUCUUUUGCUAAUGACGGUACCUGAAGAAUAAGCACCGGCUAACUACGUGCCAGCAGCCGCGGUAAUACGUAGGGUGCAAGCGUUAAUCGGCAUUACUGGGCGUAAAGCGUGCGCAGGCGGUUUUGUAAGUCUGAUGUGAAAUCCCCGGGCUCAACCUGGGAAUUGCAUUGGAGACUGCAAGGCUAGAAUCUGGCAGAGGGGGGUAGAAUUCCACGUGUAGCAGUGAAAUGCGUAGUUAUGUGGAGGAACACCGAUGGCGAAGGCAGCCCCCUGGGUCAAGAUUGACGCUCAUGCACGAAAGCGUGGGGAGCAAACAGGAUUAGAAACCCCUGUAGUCC